GUCAGGGAAGUGACUUGGAGUUGCUGGCUGCCUGGGUAGCCUGGGUCCUGAGAGGUCCCUGCCAACCAGCAGUGGAACUGCGGAGGGGCUGAGAAAUAAACGUUGCUGAUUUAAGCCACGGAGACUUUCAGGUGUCUGUUACCCAGCACCGUCUGACUGAAAUGGGAUGCUGCUGGGUCCAGAUUUAACAUCAUAAGCUGCUGCUGCCCUGUUGCUACCAGGCUGCAGAAUCCCAACUGUAUCUGGGGCAGCAAUGAGACUGGAUCACCAGACUACAUGUCCCAGGAUCCCUUGCAGCUCUGGCCAAUGAGAUAAAAGUGGAGGUGCCACACAUAACUUCCAGCCUCGAAGCUUCCUCAUGAGUGUGCUGUGGAUGCCUUUGCCUCACCACCUCCUCAAGGCUACAGCUUGAACAGCCACUUUGAACCAGGAGGCAAAAGGCCAAGGACAGCAAUACAUCAAGGAGGGGGGGCCUGGUUUCCCGUCAAUGUGGGGAAAGAAACAAUCUUGUCAGAACCACUAUUUUGUAUACUAUGCAGCUAAACCUAAUCGUAAUACAUAGACCCUCCUCUUUAGUUGGGCAUAUUUUACCUUGUUUCAUCUCUCAGCUACUUUCCCCAAUCAGACAACCCGUACUUUAUCCAACCAUGUACUUCUCUUGUUAACAAGACUUUUUUUGUUUUUUUGAGACGGAGUCUUGCCCUAUUGCUUAGGCUGGAGUGCAGCAGUGACGCGAACUUCCACUUCCAGGGUUCAAGCGAUAUUCUCUUUCCUCAGCCUCCCAAGGGAAGACAGGCACACGCCAAGGUGCCAAGCUAAUUUUUGUAUUUUUAUUAGAGAUGAGGUUUCACCAUAUUGGCCAGGCUGGUCUCAAACUCCUGGCCUCAAGUGAUCUGCUUGCACCUGCCCACCUCGGCCUCCCAAAGUGCUGGGAUUACAGGUGUGAGCCACUGUGCCCCACCCAACUAACAAGACUUUUUAUUAUCCCAAUGCAAACUGACCUAUGUUGACCAUUCAUUGGGAUGCUGAAUAUAUCCCAUUUGAGACCAUGUCUAUCACUGUCCAAUUUUGGUCAAACUGAUUAGAAAUCGGGACAUUCCAGCAUCUCAUCACACACAGCUCUGGGGAAACAUCCCCGGCAGAAGAGAAGAUCAAAUUGCUGUCUUUAACCUCAUCUGAGUAAUUUUAAAGUAAUUAUCUCUUCUUGGAAGAUAACUCACUUUAUAAAGGGUUUGGUGUUUUGGGAUGAGCUGACUAGCUAUGGUUUCAGAUGUCUCCAGGCAGAAGCUGGAGGUACUGACUCUGGGGAGGAACCUUACGGGGAGCAGGGUUGGGCUACGGGACGCUGGCUUGAGCUUCCCUCUUGGCCACAGAGGAAAGCACCAAAACAGACAGGACUGUGGGCAGGAGCCUCGCCGGGCAGAGAGCUCCAGCCCGCUCUGUCAAUCUCCCACAUCAACCGAUGAAACAAUAGACAGGUGAAUGACAGGAUGCCUGGGCAAAAUGACGGUCAGAUGAUGUAGCCUUGUUGGCUGCCACCCCAGCAGCCAUCACCUCCGUUCCUGCUUGCCCAGAUUCCACUCUGGCAGCCAGCCCUCUGUCUCGUGACUUGAGUAAAUCCUCACAGUUAACACAGCCACAGAGGUGCAAUGUGACCUUGCCAGGGGUUGAGGGGUGGGCAAGUGAUCCAGUUCCUUCCCCCAACUUUUUUUUUUUUUUUGAGAUGGAGUCUUGUUCUGUCAC
rnacentral:lncRNA from 1 species